rnacentral:rRNA from 1 species
GAUGAACGCUGGCGGCGUGCCUAAUACAUGCAAGUAGAACGCUGAAGGAAGGAGCUUGCUCUUUCCGGAUGAGUUGCGAACGGGUGAGUAACGCGUAGGUAACCUGCCUGGUAGCGGGGGAUAACUAUUGGAAACGAUAGCUAAUACCGCAUAACAGUAGAUGUUGCAUGAUAUCCACUUAAAAGGUGCAAUUGCACCACUACCAGAUGGACCUGCGUUGUAUUAGCUAGUUGGUGAGGUAACGGCUCACCAAGGCGACGAUACAUAGCCGACCUGAGAGGGUGAUCGGCCACACUGGGACUGAGACACGGCCCAGACUCCUACGGGAGGCAGCAGUAGGGAAUCUUCGGCAAUGGACGGAAGUCUGACCGGGCAACGCCGCGUGAGUGAAGAAGGUUUUCGGAUCGUAAAGCUCUGUUGUAAGAGAAGAACGAGUGUGAGAGUGGAAAGUUCACACUGUGACGGUAUCUUACCAGAAAGGGACGGCUAACUACGUG